rnacentral:rRNA from 1 species
GGGUUGUGAGGUUAAGCGACUAAGCGUACACGGUGGAUGCCCUGGCAGUCAGAGGCGAUGAAGGACGUGCUAAUCUGCGAUAAGCGUCGGUGAGGUGAUAUGAACCGUUAUAACCGGCGAUUUCCGAAUGGGGAAACCCAGUGUGUUUCGACACACUAUCAUUAACUGAAUCCAUAGGUUAAUGAGGCGAACCGGGGGAACUGAAACAUCUAAGUACCCCGAGGAAAAGAAAUCAACCGAGAUUCCCCCAGUAGCGGCGAGCGAACGGGGAGGAGCCCAGAGCCUGAAUCAGUGUGUGUGUUAGUGGAAGCGUCUGGAAAGGCGCGCGAUACAGGGUGACAGCCCCGUACACAAAAAUGCACAUACUGUGAGCUCGAUGAGUAGGGCGGGACACGUGGUAUCCUGUCUGAAUAUGGGGGGACCAUCCUCCAAGGCUAAAUACUCCUGACUGACCGAUAGUGAACCAGUACCGUGAGGGAAAGGCGAAAAGAACCCCGGCGAGGGGAGUGAAAAAGAACCUGAAACCGUGUACGUACAAGCAGUGGGAGCCUCUUAAUGGGGUGACUGCGUACCUUUUGUAUAAUGGGUCAGCGACUUAUAUUCUGUAGCAAGGUUAACCGAAUAGGGGAGCCGAAGGGAAACCGAGUCUUAACUGGGCGUUAAGUUGCAGGGUAUAGACCCGAAACCCGGUGAUCUAGCCAUGGGCAGGUUGAAGGUUGGGUAACACUAACUGGAGGACCGAACCGACUAAUGUUGAAAAAUUAGCGGAUGACUUGUGGCUGGGGGUGAAAGGCCAAUCAAACCGGGAGAUAGCUGGUUCUCCCCGAAAGCUAUUUAGGUAGCGCCUCGUGAAUUCAUCUCCGGGGGUAGAGCACUGUUUCGGCAAGGGGGUCAUCCCGACUUACCAACCCGAUGCAAACUGCGAAUACCGGAGAAUGUUAUCACGGGAGACACACGGCGGGUGCUAACGUUCGUCGUGAAGAGGGAAACAACCCAGACCGCCAGCUAAGGUCCCAAAGUCAUGGUUAAGUGGGAAACGAUGUGGGAAGGCCCAGACAGCCAGGAUGUUGGCUUAGAAGCAGCCAUCAUUUAAAGAAAGCGUAAUAGCUCACUGGUCGAGUCGGCCUGCGCGGAAGAUGUAACGGGGCUAAACCAUGCACCGAAGCUGCGGCAGCGACACUAUGUGUUGUUGGGUAGGGGAGCGUUCUGUAAGCCUGUGAAGGUGGCCUGUGAGGGUUGCUGGAGGUAUCAGAAGUGCGAAUGCUGACAUAAGUAACGAUAAAGCGGGUGAAAAGCCCGCUCGCCGGAAGACCAAGGGUUCCUGUCCAACGUUAAUCGGGGCAGGGUGAGUCGACCCCUAAGGCGAGGCCGAAAGGCGUAGUCGAUGGGAAACAGGUUAAUAUUCCUGUACUUGGUGUUACUGCGAAGGGGGGACGGAGAAGGCUAUGUUGGCCGGGCGACGGUUGUCCCGGUUUAAGCGUGUAGGCUGGUUUUCCAGGCAAAUCCGGAAAACCAAGGCUGAGGCGUGAUGACGAAGCACUACGGUGCUGAAGCGACAAAUGCCCUGCUUCCAGGAAAAGCCUCUAAGCAUCAGGUAACAUCAAAUCGUACCCCAAACCGACACAGGUGGUCAGGUAGAGAAUACCAAGGCGCUUGAGAGAACUCGGGUGAAGGAACUAGGCAAAAUGGUGCCGUAACUUCGGGAGAAGGCACGCUGAUAUGUAGGUGAAGCGACUUGCUCGUGGAGCUGAAAUCAGUCGAAGAUACCAGCUGGCUGCAACUGUUUAUUAAAAACACAGCACUGUGCAAACACGAAAGUGGACGUAUACGGUGUGACGCCUGCCCGGUGCCGGAAGGUUAAUUGAUGGGGUUAGCGGUAACGCGAAGCUCUUGAUCGAAGCCCCGGUAAACGGCGGCCGUAACUAUAACGGUCCUAAGGUAGCGAAAUUCCUUGUCGGGUAAGUUCCGACCUGCACGAAUGGCGUAAUGAUGGCCAGGCUGUCUCCACCCGAGACUCAGUGAAAUUGAACUCGCUGUGAAGAUGCAGUGUACCCGCGGCAAGACGGAAAGACCCCGUGAACCUUUACUAUAGCUUGACACUGAACAUUGAGCCUUGAUGUGUAGGAUAGGUGGGAGGCUUUGAAGUGUGGACGCCAGUCUGCAUGGAGCCGACCUUGAAAUACCACCCUUUAAUGUUUGAUGUUCUAACGUUGGCCCGUAAUCCGGGUUGCGGACAGUGUCUGGUGGGUAGUUUGACUGGGGCGGUCUCCUCCUAAAGAGUAACGGAGGAGCACGAAGGUUGGCUAAUCCUGGUCGGACAUCAGGAGGUUAGUGCAAUGGCAUAAGCCAGCUUGACUGCGAGCGUGACGGCGCGAGCAGGUGCGAAAGCAGGUCAUAGUGAUCCGGUGGUUCUGAAUGGAAGGGCCAUCGCUCAACGGAUAAAAGGUACUCCGGGGAUAACAGGCUGAUACCGCCCAAGAGUUCAUAUCGACGGCGGUGUUUGGCACCUCGAUGUCGGCUCAUCACAUCCUGGGGCUGAAGUAGGUCCCAAGGGUAUGGCUGUUCGCCAUUUAAAGUGGUACGCGAGCUGGGUUUAGAACGUCGUGAGACAGUUCGGUCCCUAUCUGCCGUGGGCGCUGGAGAACUGAGGGGGGCUGCUCCUAGUACGAGAGGACCGGAGUGGACGCAUCACUGGUGUUCGGGUUGUCAUGCCAAUGGCACUGCCCGGUAGCUAAAUGCGGAAGAGAUAAGUGCUGAAAGCAUCUAAGCACGAAACUUGCCCCGAGAUGAGUUCUCCCUGAGACUUAGAGUCUCCUGAAGGAACGUUGAAGACGACGACGUUGAUAGGCCGGGUGUGUAAGCGCAGCGAUGCGUUGAGCUAACCGGUACUAAUGAACCGUGAGGCUUAACCUUACAACGCCGAAG